UACGUAGGGCGCAAGCGUUGUCCGGAAUUAUUGGGCGUAAAGAGCUCGUAGGCGGCUUGUCACGUCGGGUGUGAAAGCCCGGGGCUUAACCCCGGGUCUGCAUUCGAUACGGGCUGGCUAGAGUUCGGUAGGGGAGACUGGAAUUCCUGGUGUAGCGGUGAAAUGCGCAGAUAUCAGGAGGAACACCGGUGGCGAAGGCGGGUCUCUGGGCCGAUACUGACGCUGAGGAGCGAAAGCGUGGGGAGCGAACAGG
rnacentral:rRNA from 1 species